rnacentral:rRNA from 1 species
AACAAACGCUGGCGGCGUGCCUAAUACAUGCAAGUCGAACGGGGAAAGCUUUCGGGUGAGUACUAGUGGCGCACGGGUGAGUAACGCGUGGAUAAUCUGCCUUAGAGUGGGGGAUAACUAGUCGAAAGAUUAGCUAAUACCGCAUAAGACCACAAGAACUGCGGUUCAAGGGGUCAAAGGUUUUUCGCUCUAAGAUGAGUCCGCGUAAGAUUAGCUAGUUGGUAGGGUAACGGCCUACCAAGGCGACGAUCUUUAACUGGUCUGAGAAGAUGAUCAGUCACACUGGAACUGAGACACGGUCCAGACUCCUACGGGAGGCAGCAGUAGGGAAUAUUGCACAAUGGAGGAAACUCUGAUGCAGCGACGCCGCGUGAGUGAUGAAGGCCUUCGGGUUGUAAAGCUCUGUCGCAGGGGAAUAACACAAUGAAGGUACCCUGUAAGAAAGGAUCGGCUAACUUCGUGCCAGCCGCCGCGGUAAAAC